rnacentral:rRNA from 1 species
GACGAACGCUGGCGGCGUGCUUAACACAUGCAAGUCGAACGGAAAGGCCUGCUUUCCCUUGUGGAUUGCGGGUACUCGAGUGGCGAACGGGUGAGUAACACGUGAGUGGUCUGCCCCCAACUUGGGUAUAAGCCUGGGAAACUGGGUCUAAUUCCCGAUAGGACCGCAGGGUGGUGCCGGUGGUGGAAAACGAUUUUCUAGUGGUUGGGGAUGCGCUCCCGGCCUAUCAGCUUGUUGGUGGGGUAAUGGCCUACCAAGGCGGCGACGGGUAGCCGGCCUGGGAGAGUGCACGGGCACAUUGGGACUGGGAGACGGCCCAGACGCCUACGGGAGGCAGCAGUGGGGAAUAUUGCACAAGGGGCGGAAGCCUGAUGCAGCGACGCCGCGUGGGGGAUGACGGCCUUCGGGUUGUAAACUCCUUUCGACCGCGAGGAAGCCACCUGGUUGGAAGGGUGGUGACGGUAGUGGUAGAAGAAGCACCGGCUAACUACGUG